CCUACGGGGGACUGCAGUGAGGAAUAUUGGUCAAUGGGCGCGAGCCUGAACCAGCCAAGUAGCGUGAAGGAUGACUGCCCUACGGGUUGUAAACUUCUUUUAUAAGGGAAUAAAGUGAGGCACGUGUGCCUCUUUGUAUGUAUUUUAUGAAUAAGGAUCGGCUAACUCCGCGCCAGCAGCCGCGGUAAUACGGAGGAUCCGAGCGUUAUCCGGAUUUAUUGGGUUUAAAGGGAGCGUAGAUGGGUUGUUAAGUCAGUUGUGAAAGUUUGCGGCUCAACCGUAAAAUUGCAAUUGAUACUGGCAGCCUUGAGUACAGUUGAGGUAGGCGGAAUUCGUGGUGUAGCGGUGAAAUGCUUAGAUAUCACGAAGAACUCCGAUUGCGAAGGCAACCUACUAAACUGCAACUGACAUUGAUGCUCGAAAGUGUGGGUAUCAAACAGGAUUAGAUACCCGGGUAGUC
rnacentral:rRNA from 1 species